AAAUUAGUCCUCCUAUAACUUAGUAACUCUUAGCAAAUCCUUCAUGUAAUUUUUACGUGUUAGUCUAAUCAUCAAUCAAAUUGAUAAUUAAAUUUUUUUAUGAUUAAAAAUUAUCAUUCGAUAUCCCGAUCAAUCAGGACCUCUUUUGUAUAUAACCUCAUAGGUUCUAUUCUAUCUGAUAGUAAGAUAUAUUUUGAUCCCCAUCAAAAUAUCAUUGAAACUUUUUUUAAUGUAUUGGAAUAAUUCUAACUCUACCGAUCAAAGUUCAUCGAUCAUCAAGAUGAUACUCAAUGAGUCUCACAAUCUACCAAUGAUAUCUAGCAAUAUGUAGUGACAACCUAGUAGAAUGGAGAGUAAUGAACCUCUAGAUAUAGUUAUCGUGUGAUUCAGUUUUUCUAUCGUGAGUUCCAACAAGAUAGAGAUUAUGAAAAACUCAUCAAACCCCAUCAUCUCUCACAUAUAAGAUUGGCUUGACUUGCGUUCAUUUAUAAAUUUUUAUAAUUUUUUUUUUCAGUAUUCACACUUGCUUUGACCGAAGACUUUCUGAACUCAAUCUUGUGAAUCACAUAGAACUUUUUUUUUUCUACUAAGAUCGAUAGAUCCCAUCUAGAUACACAUCUUAUUUUUAUAAUGAACCUAGUGCAGCUAACAUACACUUCAAAACUCCAUAUGGCUAGGAGAUCGAGUUAUGGUAUAGUCAAACUAUAGCAACCUCAUUAUGAACAGUUAAGGCACUGUAGGUCAAAGAACCACUCACACUACUACAGCAUCGAGAAUGUCAUUAACGAAUGAGUAGACAUAUAAAUGAUUUCUUGUAUUGGUCACACUCAGUAUCUUUGUUCUUUAAUAAGUGCCUGCACUUUCACUCAGUAUCCCCACACUGUAGAUUCAAGACUCAUCUACUCCUAAAGAAGUGAUCUGUAUACUAACUUAUCUAGAUCAAUCAUCAUCUCCAUGAUGAUCCUACAGUCAGGAGCAGUUUAUGAAUUAACCAUCAAUGACACAUACUUCAAAUUUUUAACUUUUGAGAAUAUAUGUCAUCAUCAUGUUAAUUCAUUAGAUAAUUCAUACAUACAUAUACUACAUAAAUGAUAACUAAUUAUCCUACAUAAUUAGGUCAAGUAUGAAAUUAUAUCUUAGAAAGAAUUAAUGUGUCAGUCCGAUUGACUUCUAAGACAUACAUCUAAUAGUUAGAACUCUUAUUCAAUAGAUGAAGGAGUUGAGAGGCAGAAUAAUGGCAUACUCUUUUUGGAGUCCUCUUCGAACCUCUUUUAUGGGUGGAGGGCUGGAGCUUCAGUUGGCAAGUUAGUUGAUAUGAUCCUGUGAUUUGUGCAAGGUGGCGAGAUCAUCACUCGAGAUUUUCGAGAUGUGGUGGUUGUAGUUGUCUUAUCAGUUUUACAACAAUUAUCAGCUAAUAGAUGUGAAAUUUUGAAUUGAGUUGCCAACUGGGUGUUGUCGAGAUGAGGAUUGAUCAGCGAUGACUAAGAGUCGGUCGCCUUGGGCUACCUUCGUAUGAUAAAGUCAAGGGCUAGAGGCCUACUUAGAAGAGAGUGGUUAGUUGGUCUGACAUAAUCAGCUAGUGACCAUCUUCUGAUUGGGCCAAACUGGACACUCAGACAUGCUAUUGAUUCAUCAGCCUGAGCUAUUGGAGUCGGCUGAUGAAGAAGUAUUGACGAUUAUGCAUGAGGGUUAUCGAGCGAUAAUCGACAGGCUUUCAUUUGCUUAGGGUGUGAAGCAUCAAUCAGAUAGACAUCAAAGACUAGCUCAACAAAAGUCAUGGGUGACCAUGAGAUGGCAAGGACUCAGCAAGC
rnacentral:lncRNA from 1 species